rnacentral:rRNA from 1 species
GAUGAACGCUAGCGGCAGGCCUAAUACAUGCAAGUCGAACGGAUAUAUGUUUUUCGGAAUAUAUAUUAGUGGCGCACGGGUGAGUAACACGUACAUAACUUGCCCUCAAGCGGGGGAUAGCCUUGGGAAACUGAGAGUAAUACCCCAUAGAAUUAUUGGACGGCAUCGUUUGAUAAUUAAAACUACGGUGCUUGGGGAUAGAUGUGCGUCUGAUUAGCUAGUUGGUGAGGUAAGGGCUCACCAAGGCGACGAUCAGUAGGGGGCGUGAGAGCGUGGCCCCCCCACACGGGUACUGAGACACGGACCUGACUCCUACGGGAGGCAGCAGUAAGGAAUAUUGGUCAAUGGAGGCAACUCUG